AACUUGCCUAACAGCUCACAGACAGGAUGGGUUGAAAUGGGAAUUUGACCCCAGACCUGUCUUGCUUCAAAGCCUGAGUGUGUCCCACUGGAUCCCUCCGAUGGGAUGGUUGUCCACCCUGACCCUGUGUGGCGCUGAGCACUCGAGGACAUUGAAGAGGCCUGGGGCUCUGGGGCUGAGAUGUCCCACUGUCAGCAUUUUCAGGGGGCCUGGAAUUCGUGGCUAAUAGGGGAGAACUUCUAGGCUAGUAGUUGCCAGGUAGCAACAUGAAGAGCCCCCUUCAAGGGACCCAAGAGAGCCUAGCAGAGAAGGAGCUCCAGCUUCUGGUCAUGAUUCACCAGCUGUCCACCCUGCGGGACCAGCUCCUGACAGCCCACUCGGAGCAGAAGAACAUGGCUGCCAUGCUGUUUGAGAAGCAGCAGCAACAGAUGGAGCUUGCCCGGCAGCAGCAGGAGCAGAUUGCAAAGCAGCAGCAGCAGCUGAUUCAGCAGCAGCAUAAGAUCAACCUCCUUCAGCAGCAGAUCCAGCAGGUUAACAUGCCUUAUGUCAUGAUCCCAGCCUUCCCCCCAAGCCACCAACCUCUGCCUGUCACCCCUGACUCCCAGCUGGCCUUACCUAUUCAGCCCAUUCCCUGCAAACCAGUGGAGUAUCCGCUGCAGCUGCUGCACAGCCCCCCUGCCCCAGUGGUGAAGAGGCCUGGGGCCAUGGCCACCCACCACCCCCUGCAGGAGCCCUCCCAGCCCCUGAACCUCACAGCCAAGCCCAAGGCCCCCGAGCUGCCCAACACCUCCAGCUCCCCAAGCCUGAAGAUGAGCAGCUGUGCGCCCCGCCCCCCCAGCCAUGGAGGCCCCACGCGGGACCUGCAGUCCAGCCCCCCGAGCCUGCCUCUGGGCUUCCUUGGUGAAGGGGACGCUGUCACCAAAGCCAUCCAGGAUGCUCGGCAGCUGCUGCACAGCCACAGUGGGGCCUUGGAUGGCUCCCCCAACACCCCCUUCCGUAAGGACCUCAUCAGCCUGGACUCAUCCCCAGCCAAGGAGCGGCUGGAGGACGGCUGUGUGCACCCACUGGAGGAAGCCAUGCUGAGCUGCGACAUGGAUGGCUCCCGCCACUUCCCCGAGUCCCGAAACAGCAGCCACAUCAAGAGGCCCAUGAACGCCUUCAUGGUGUGGGCCAAGGAUGAGCGGAGGAAGAUCCUGCAAGCCUUCCCAGACAUGCACAACUCCAGCAUCAGCAAGAUCCUUGGAUCUCGCUGGAAGUCCAUGACCAACCAGGAGAAGCAGCCCUACUAUGAGGAACAGGCGCGGCUGAGCCGGCAGCACCUGGAGAAGUAUCCUGACUACAAGUACAAGCCGCGGCCCAAGCGCACCUGCAUUGUGGAGGGCAAGCGGCUGCGCGUGGGAGAGUACAAGGCCCUGAUGAGGACCCGGCGUCAGGAUGCCCGCCAGAGCUACGUGAUCCCCCCGCAGGCUGGCCAGGUGCAGAUGAGCUCCUCGGAUGUCCUGUACCCUCGGGCAGCAGGCAUGCCGCUGGCACAGCCACUGGUGGAGCACUAUGUCCCUCGUAGCCUGGACCCCAACAUGCCUGUGAUCGUCAACACCUGCAGCCUCAGAGAGGAGGGUGAGGGCACAGAUGACAGGCACUCGGUGGCUGAUGGCGAGAUGUACCGGUACAGCGAGGACGAGGACUCGGAGGGCGAAGAGAAGAGCGAUGGGGAGUUGGUGGUGCUCACAGACUGAUCCCGGCUGGGUGGGCCC
rnacentral:sRNA from 1 species